rnacentral:rRNA from 1 species
UACGAAGGGUCCAAGCGUUAUCGGAUUUAUUGGGUUUAAAGGGUGCGUAGGCGGGUUAUUAAGUCAGUGGUGAAAUCUUGCAGCUUAACUGUAAAAUUGCCAUUGAUACUGAUGAUCUUGAGUACGUUUGAAGUGGGCGGAAUAUGUCAUGUAGAGGUGAAAUUCUUAGAGAUGACAUAGAACACCGAUUGCGAAGGCAGCUCACUAAACUGUAACUGACGCUGAGGCACGAAAGCGUGGGGAUCAAACAGG